rnacentral:SRP_RNA from 1 species
GCCGGGCGUGGUGGUGUGUGCCUGUAGUCCCAGCUACUCAGGAGGCUGAGGCAGGAGAAUCGCUUGAACCCAGGAAGUGGAGGUUGCAGUGAGCCAAGAUCACGCCACUGCACUCCAGCCUGGGUGAUAGAGUGAGACUCUGUCUCAA